GAAAGAUUAAUACCCGAUGGCAUAGUUCUUCCGCAUGGUGGAACUAUUAAAGAAUUUCGGUCAUCGAUGGGGAUGCGUUCCAUUAGGUUGUUGGCGGGGUAACGGCCCACCAAGCCUUCGAUGGAUAGGGGUUCUGAGAGGAAGGUCCCCCACAUUGGAACUGAGACACGGUCCAAACUCCUACGGGAGGCAGCAGUGAGGAAUAUUGGUCAAUGGACGAGAGUCUGAACCAGCCAAGUAGCGUGAAGGAUGACUGCCCUAUGGGUUGUAAACUUCUUUUAUACGGGAAUAAAGUGAGGCACGUGUGCCUUUUUGUAUGUACCGUAUGAAUAAGGAUCGGCUAACUCCGUGCCAGCAGCCGCGGUAAUACGGAGGAUCCGAGCGUUAUCCGGAUUUAUUGGGUUUAAAGGGAGCGUAGGCGGACGCUUAAGUCAGUUGUGAAAGUUUGCGGCUCAACCGUAAAAUUGCAGUUGAUACUGGGUGUCUUGAGUACAGUAGAGGCAGGCGGAAUUCGUGGUGUAGCGGUGAAAUGCUUAGAUAUCACGAAGAACUCCGAUUGCGAAGGCAGCUUGCUGGACUGUAACUGACGCUGAUGCUCGAAAGUGUGGGUAUCAAACAGGAUUAGAUACCCUGGUAGUCCACACAGUAAACGAUGAAUACUCGCUGUUUGCGAUAUACAGUAAGCGGCCAAGCGAAAGCGUUAAGUAUUCCACCUGGGGAGUAC
rnacentral:rRNA from 1 species